GGAAGAUUUUCAUCAUGGUCCUGGGAGUUGGACUCCUAGUACCUGCUAUGGCUACAUUAGGGUCCACCUGGCUUAUUGGCUGGUAGCUAGUUCCCUUGGGAACCAGAACAAUCUUCCUGCACAUUGAGUAAUCUGCUUCCUUUCCCUGCCCGGGGCAAGAGUCGGCUCAGGGAAAGUGAAGAAACCAGUUUGGGGCAGCACUAGGGUGGGCGUGGGCUGGGCACUGCCAGGAACUCUGCGGCAAGACCAGUUUCCAUUGCUUCCGGACCGGAUGCAGGGCUGCGAUCCGGGCGGAGACCAGAGAAUUGCGCCCGUGAGCGCACCUGUGGGCCCAGAUCUUGCUCCCCAAGAAAAUCCAGAGACCAAAGAAGUGGAAAGUUCACACUGGCGUGCCAACACAACUGUACUCAGAGAAAGAAGAGCAUCAAAGUGUCUAUAUGGCAUAUUUCCACUUAUAGAAAAUGGAAGCUGAUCUACAGAAAAAUGAAAAAAGUAAGCAAAUGCUUAUUUGCUGAAGGGAG
rnacentral:lncRNA from 1 species